rnacentral:rRNA from 1 species
AGAGUUUGAUCCUGGCUCAGAUUGAACGCUGGCGGCAUGCCUUACACAUGCAAGUCGAACGGCAGCACGGACUUCGGUCUGGUGGCGAGUGGCGAACGGGUGAGUAAUAUAUCGGAACAUACCCAGUAGUGGGGGAUAACUAUCCGAAAGGAUAGCUAAUACCGCAUACGAUCUGUGGAUGAAAGCAGGGGAUCUUCGGACCUUGUGCUAUUGGAAUGGCCGAUAUCUGAUUAGCUAGUUGGUAGGGUAAAAGCCUACCAAGGCGACGAUCAGUAGCUGGUCUGAGAGGACGACCAGCCACACUGGAACUGAGACACGGUCCAGACUCCUACGGGAGGCAGCAGUGGGGAAUUUUGGACAAUGGGGGCAACCCUGAUCCAGCAAUGCCGCGUGAGUGAAGAAGGCCCUCGGGUUGUAAAGCUCUUUUGUCAGGGAAGAAACGGAGUUCUCUAAUAUAGGAUUCUAAUGACGGUACCUGAAGAAUAAGCAUCGGCUAACUACGUGCUAGCAGCCGCGGUAAUACGUAGGGUGCAAGCGUUAAUCGGAAUUACUGGGCGUAAAGCGUGCGCAGGCGGUUUUGUAAGUCUGAUGUGAAAUCCCCGGGCUCAACCUGGGAACUGCAUUGGAGACUGCAAGGCUAGAGUGUGUCAGAGGGGGGUAGAAUUCCACGUGUAGCAGUGAAAUGCGUAGAGAUGUGGAGGAAUACUCGAUGGCGAAGGCAGCUCCCCUGGGAUAACACUGACGCUCAUGCACGAAAGCGUGGGGAGCAAACAGGAUUAGAUACCCUGGUAGUCCACGCCCUAAACGAUGUCUACUAGUUGUCGGGACUUAAUUGUCUUGGUAACGCAGCUAACGCGUGAAGUAGACCGCCUGGGGAGUACGGUCGCAAGAUUAAAACUCAAAGGAAUUGACGGGGACCCGCACA